rnacentral:rRNA from 1 species
AUUGACCGUGGCCAAGUAGCAUAAUCAUUUGUCUUUUAAUUAAAGGCUUGUAUGAAUGGUUGGAUGAGAUAUAAUCUAUUUUUAUUUAAUUAAAAAUGAAUUUUAAUUUUUAGUAAAAAUGCUAAAAUAAAAAAUAUAGACGAGAAGACCCUAUAAAUCUUUAUUAUUUUUUUAUUAAUUUAUUAAUAGAAUAAAAAAUUUAUUAAUAAAACAAUAAUUUUAUUGGGGUGAUAAUGAAAUUUAAUAAACUUUUAUUUUAUUUUAUAAAUAUAAUUAAUUUAAUGAUCCAUUUUUAAUGAUUAUAAAAUUAAGUUACUUUAGGGAUAACAGCGUAAUUAUUUUAAAGAGUUCAUAUCGAUAAAAUAGUUUGCGACCUCGAUGUUGAAUUAAGGAGUAAGUUUAGGUGUAGA